rnacentral:misc_RNA from 1 species
GAUGAAGAACGUAGCGAAAUGCGAUACGUAAUGUGAAUUGCAGAAUUCAGUGAAUCAUCGAAUCUUUGAACGCAUAUUGCGCUCUCUGGUAUUCCGGAGAGCAUGCUUGUUUGAGUAUCAGUAAACACCUCAACUCCCCUUUCUUUUUUGAAAUGGGAGCUGGACUUGAGUGAUCCCAACGCUUUUCUCACCGAAAAGUGGCGGGUUACUUGAAAUGCAGGUGCAGCUGGACUUUUCUCUGAGCUAAAAGCAUAUCUAUUUAGUCUGCCUAAAAACAGAUUAUUACCUUUGCUGCAGCUAACAUAAAGGAGAUUAGUUCUUGUGCUGACUGAUGCAGGAUUCACAGAGACAGCUUCGGCUGGCCUUUGUAAACUCGAUCUCAAAUCAAGUAAGACUACCCGCUGAACUUAAGCAUAUCAUAAGCGGAGGA